rnacentral:rRNA from 1 species
CACCGCGGUCAUACGAUUAACCCAAACUAAUAGGCCCACGGCGUAAAGCGUGUUUAAGAUAUCAACUAACUAAAGUUAAAACUUAACUAAGCUGUAAAAAGCUCCAGUUACCAUAAAAUAAACUACGAAAGUGACUUUAAAAUACUCUGACUACACGAUAGCUAAGAUC